AUGCAGGUGGCCUUUACCACGUUCUCUGCCACUUCUGGAGAGACACACAGCACCCGACGUGUUGUAGCCAGGGUAUGGGCGCAUGAUGUUACGGCGCAAGGGGAAGGCUUCGUCUGCCAGAAACACAUGAGGCAUCGGGCCAAGAUGUUCUGCCCCUGGGAGGAUGGAGUCAUCCGGGAUACCCAAUGUGUUCUGCCGUAGGGCAGUACCAAAAGCGGAGGAGGAGAGGGUUCCCCCAUCAAUGUUUCUUCCAUAGGCCCCGAUGUCAACAAGCCUGAAACAGUACCUGGCGUCGACUACAGCCAGAAGGAUGAUGGAAAAGGGGCCUUUGUAAUUGUAAUAGAGAGUGCCAGUUAGGGAAAUCCAGCUGUUGGAAUCCAGUGGCUAUCUUUCUCCACGCUGCUUUGUCUGGAAUAGGCAUGUAAUCUGGCAGGAGGCAAUCCCAAAUAGCUGUGCAGACCUGAUGAACUUUGCCUGCCACCGUGCUGGCACCCAUCCUGAAGGCGAAAGCGAUGGACCGGAAUGAAUCGCCAGUUGCCAGAUACCUGCCCAAAGAGUGAUAUUUAGUUUAGUCUGAAACAAUUGAGCAAGCACGCAUACACCUGUUGAUCUUGAUUGUAGCCGUUAGCAGUUAGAUAGCAGUUUCUAUUUCAUUUGCAGGCCUGACAGUCAGGUAGGUAAUGCUAGCAGUCUACAUCCUGUCCAGCGAGGGACGCUAUACAUAUAAAAUAGGCCUACUCUGAGCACCUUUAAAACAAGACUGAAGACUUAUAUGUUUGCUUUAGCUUUCUGCUAAAUCUUAAAUACAUUGCACUUUCUAAAAAGCUUUUUUAAAUUUGCCUUUAUAUUCUAUUUUAAUACUAAAAUGCCUUUUUAACUUUCUAUUUUACCCAUUUCUUUCCAUAUGUUUAUCUAUUAUUUUAUUUUAUUGUAUGACAAUGUUUAUAUGUGAAGCACUUGAGUCUGCCUUGUGUAUGAAAAGUGCUAUAUAAAUAAAGUUGCCUUGCCUUGCCUACGUAUGCUGAAAAAGUGAGAACAAGCUCUGCAACACCAAAGAGUAUGGGAGGCAAGACAACAU
rnacentral:lncRNA from 1 species